CAGCUAAAUAUGCAAUUGGGAAUAUAAAUCAAGACGACAAUAUUAUAUUGCGGUAGAGCAGUAUCGGUUUAAAUAGCAGUAUCCACUAUCCAGUAUUUCAGGUUUAGGACAGCUGAACAGAACGUAGUUUUAAUAAUAAUCAGCAAUGGAUUCUGGGGCCAAAGGUUUGUUAGGGGAAGAUCAUGUAAGAGCAAAGAGAACAUCUACUGGAUUAAACAGGAUUUUGUUUAUUAUGGCCUCCAUUCUCGCAGCUGCUUUGGCAAUUGGUAUUGGGAUACUGAUUGGCAAAAGUGUAGUCAACGUUAAAACAAUUUCAGAUACCAUUCAAUGGGAUUUUGAUGCCGGUAUCCAAGAUUUGAUUCUCAAUGAGAUAAAAGCAUCGAAUAUAAAAGAGAAUUUGCGUUUGUUAACAGUUCUACCACACGAGGCAGGCUCUCAUCAAGAUGAAGUUGUACUCACUAACUUAAUUAAAGAAACAUGGGAAACUCAUCUAGAUAAAGUAGAAGUUUACCCAUACAAUGUGUUGUUGUCUUACCCAAGCAUAUCAGACCCUAACUACAUUGAACUGGUGUUCCCAAACGGGUCAGUUGCUUUAAAAACGAACUAUACUGAGGUACCUCUGGAUCAAAAUGAGAAAAAACCUAAAGUUUUACCUUCGUUUCUUGCCCACACACCUAAUGGUACAGCAUCUGGGGAUUUAUAUUAUGUCAACUAUGGAAGAGUUGAAGAUUUUGAAGAACUUUUAAAGUUAAAUGUCAAUGUUUCUGGUUCGAUUUGCAUGGCACGAUAUGGGAGAAUAUUUCGCGGGGAGAAAGUUAAAAAUGCAGAGCUGUAUAACUGCACAGGUAUCGUUAUAUUUACAGACCCCUUUGAUUAUGGAGGUAUGGCUAAACACUCUUGGAGUCCUGAGAAGUCAAGUAUUGGUUACCCAAACACAUGGUGGUUACCCCCAAGUGGGUUUCAGCGUGGUUCAGUCCAAAUGCUAGGUGACCCACUAACCCCAGGUUACCCUUCAUUGAACUUAACCUACAGAAUUAAUGAAUCUAAAGCUAAAUUACCUAAAAUACAAGCCCAACCAAUAAGCUAUGAGCAAGCUUAUGAAUACAUGGCCAUUUUAGGCGGCCAAGAUGCACCAGAGAAGUGGCAGGGUGGUUUGAAUAUAACUUACAAGAUUGGAGGCUCUUUUAAAGCAUUACAUAAAAACUGCAAAGUAAGGAUCCAUGUUGGAAAUUACAAAGUACAAAAGAAAGUUCAUAACGUGAUUGGUUACAUAAAGGGCUGGCAAGACCCUGAUAAGUAUGUUUUACUUGGGAACCAUAGAGAUGCUUGGGCAUUUGGGGGUUUGGACCCUUCAAGCGGUACAGCUGUGGUAAUGGAAGUGGCACGAGCUAUGGGAGUUGUGGUGAAGCAAGGAAAAUGGAAACCAAGGCGAACUAUUGUGUUUUGUAACUGGGCAGCUGAGGAACCAGGUCUUAUAGGAUCUACUGAGUGGACGGAACAGUUGGAGAAAAGGUUGUUACUUCGUGCUGUGUCAUAUGUUAAUAUAGAUAUUGCAGUGCAAGGUAAUGCAACAAUGAGAGCAGGGUCGACACCAACACUUCAUAAUCUGUUGUACAACUCAACAAAAUCUGUACAGAAUCCAAAUGAAGAAGAAAAGAAAAAAAAUCGGCCGACAGUUUACGACACUUGGCUGCAUAAAAAUCCGAAUGAUCACAAUUUGCCUUUCAUUAGAAAUCUAGGCUCUGGUAGCGACUAUACAACAUUCCUACAAAGAUGUGGAGUUGCUUCGGUUGAUUUAAGAUACACAUUUGAUGAACAUAUCCCAUCUUACCCUGUGUAUCACUCUCUACAUGACACGUUUAAAUACAUGGAAAAUUUUAUAGAUCCAGAAUUCAAAUAUUCCAAAGCGAUUGGUCAAGUCGCUGCAGAUGUUAUGUUAAAGUUAAGCAGUUUAUCUGUUUUACCACUUAAUCCCAUUGAUUAUGCUGCAAAGUUAAGGUAUAUGUUUAAAAGUUUAGAAACCACAAAUGGAAAACUAUUAGCUGCAAAUGGAAUUCAGUUAACAGACUUAAACUCUGCUAUUUGGGAGUUUGGAAAAGCAGCACAAAAUUUAAACAACGUUGCGCAAAGUUUAACCCUAGCGUCAAGUGAAUCUUCAAUACGAAUAGUUAACGACCAACUUUUUCAAAUCGAUCGCGGUUUUCUUGAUUUUAACGGUCUUCCUGGACGCUUAUGGCGCCAUGUUAUAUUUGCCCCAUCGAGCCACAAUGCCUAUCGUGCCAGUGGGUUUCCAGGUGUUACCGAUGCAAUUUAUAAUGUUCUUAAUAACUCAGGGUCCUGGGAGGACGUAAAACAACAACUCUCAGUUCUUACUUUAAAAAUCUUAUCAGCCACUGACCUAAUGAUCGCUUUUUGAUUAAACUUUUCUACAAAGAUUGUUUCAUUUUUCAUGCACACUUUAUCAUAGUGUUUUUCCUAAUUUUUUUUAUAAAAAUAUGUCGAAUCAUUUUCAGGUACAGCAUUAAAAUGCGUUUGUUUUUCAUUUUUUCUUGUAAUUUAAUAUUUCUAUGUCAAUCUUUUUCAGCAGUAUUUAUUUUUCACUGAUAUUUUAUCCAGCAUUUAUCUAUGCCCUUUUAUGAUACCCGUAAACUAAUUUUAUGGAGAUAAAAUAAACACAUACACAACUUACUGGUUUAAAA